CUCUGUCUACACCGCCCAGCAGGCCAUAGCAACAAUGGCAUAAGACCUGGUGGGUCCAGUGUCCUUCCGUGUGCAGUUGGUGCCCGGCUGUGGGAGAACCUCUGUAGGAACCUGGGAGAUAUUUGCUGUUGAGAAGGGGCUUAGUGUGGUUGGAGAGGUGGAUGAUGUUUGAAGAUUACUAGGUAUUUAUUAAGUAAACCUCUGAAAGGUGAGAGUUACUAAAAUGGUCCGCUGCUGAGGAUAGCAGGGUUAGAGCCGCAUCAGACGCCUCAACGCAGGUGUCUUCCAUCACCUUUUAGCCCCUGUCCCUACCAAUCCUAGUGCAAUUCUGGGGGUGAUCUGGUCCCCAGCACAUGUUAGAGCAGCCUAGCCUGAGCAGACAGUAACAGUCCUCAAGGAGCCAUCCCAGGAGCAUAUCACACCCUAGCCACAUUCCCUCCUCUUUGCAUGCCCAGGAUGGCAGUGGCAGGACCAGGGACAGAUGAUAUCAAGGGCAAAAAGGGUGUUUCCUGUCCCUUUUGUGCUGCCAGGGCAGCGCAGAAGGAAUGGAUUGGAGACCAGGACCUAUCCUUUAAACAUACGUAUUCUUUCAGGACAGUCAAACCUUUUGUACCCCAAGUGAAUCCCAAUACCUCUUUGGCAUUGCUCUGAAGGAAAGAGCACAGUGCUCUGUAUGCUCACAGCCUGCUCACAGCUUGUCAUUUACACCUUUCCCACAACAGGGUAAGGGUAGGCUCCCUUCCAAAGAGUGUCUCCAGUAUGUAAUCAUCAGGCCCUCAUUUCAAGGGUACAGCAGGAGAGAUAAGACUGUUCAAGCAUCUGAUGCCUGAUAUGGAGUCCGUGAAAAGUUCCAUCAAGACAGGCCUAGACACGCUCUGGCUCUGGAUAUUGCAAGUUCCCUUGUUUGCUGCCUCACAGCUACAACUGUGCUUCAUUGACAACACACACAUGUUGGUAUGAUACACUCUUUCACAGGAGCAUGGCCGUCUUGCUAGAGACCACAUCAGAGCCAGAUCCUGCUAGUUUCAUUGGUUAAACUUUUUAUUAACCAACCUCCUCAUCUAUGAAAUAAGAGAAACGUGCACACAUGCACAUACGCACAAAAUAAUUAUCAUUUCCUCCUCUAUUGAUUUAGAAUUUUCCGCUUGCUAAAUAAUUCCCAAUUCACACCAGUAGUUGUAUACAUUUCAGCUGGGUCUUAACUCAAGAACUGGGGACCGGAACUAUUACGGGAGCUCAGUCUGCUGCCAGCAAUCUGAAAUCUACUGCAGAGUUUCUCGUGUUGCCAGCCAAGUCCUAAUAGCACUUUACAAUCCACAUCUCCAUUAAUUUGCAAAUGAAAACCUGAUACUAAAAUUCCCUGAGUGCAGGGAAGAUUAUGGAUCUUAGUUUAAUUUCUUUUUUAUAUUAAUCUGUAAAUUAUCUUAAGUGCUGGAACCAUUGAAACUGGACAGGCUGUAUAUACCUGUCAUAAAUGCAAACAAUAGGUCUUAAACCAUUGUCGGUUUACUCUUUUUGGGACCCUUUUACAAAACUAUUGGAGUUCUGUUGAUUUUCAUGGGCUUUGAAAUGAGGCCCUCUUUCAGUAAGCAAGGAGAAUUGCAUUGUAUCUACAUGCUGUAAAAUCAGAGUGCUUUGCAGCCCCGUGGUAAUGGUGGGCAUGAUGGCAAGCUAUAUAUUUGUUCUGUUAUAGACCAAGAAUGACAACUAAUAAAACCAUCAAUAUGUCCCAUAAUGCUUCUUUUCUUUAGUUUAUAGGAACCAAAUGACUUCU